UACAGAGGGGGCAAGCGUUGUUCGGAAUUACUGGGCGUAAAGGGCGCGUAGGUGGCCUUCUAAGUCGAACGUGAAAUCCCUGGGCUCAACCCAGGAACUGCGUCCGAGACUGGGAGGCUUGAAUCCGGGAGAGGGAUGCGGAAUUCCAGGUGUAGCGGUGAAAUGCGUAGAUAUCUGGAGGAACACCGGUGGCGAAGGCGGCAUCCUGGACUAACACUGACGCUGAGGCGCGAAAGCUAGGGGAGCAAACAGGGAUUAAGAAACCCUA
rnacentral:rRNA from 1 species